rnacentral:tRNA from 1 species
GCCGGUAUAGCUCAGCUGGUAGAGCAUCUGAUUUGUAAUCAGAGGGUCGGGGGUUCGAGUCCCUCUGCCGGCACCA